rfam:Satellite RNA of bamboo mosaic potexvirus strain BB28 P20 protein gene, complete cds.
GAAAACUCACCGCAACGAAACAAAUCGUUCAGAAACACUUGACCACGAGGGGUCCUCUAUAGUACCGUCAGGUUGCGGCAGCCCCCGUGCGAUAGGCUAACUGUGGUGUUCCCCGCACUCCGUCGAGCGGUUAAUACGACGCUUAUUAAGAC